CCUACGGGCGGCUGCAGUGGGGAAUAUUGCACAAUGGGGGAAACCCUGAUGCAGCAACGCCGCGUGAGUGAGGAAGUAUUUCGGUAUGUAAAGCUCUAUCAGCAGGGAAUAGAAAAGAAGGUACCUGAAAAAGAAGCCCCGGCUAACUACGUGCCAGCAGCCGCGGUAAUACGUAGGGGGCAAGCGUUAUCCGGAUUUACUGGGUGUAAAGGGAGCGUAGACGGAAAGGCAAGUCAGAAGUGAAAGCCCAAGGCUUAACUGAGGAACUGCAACUAAAACUACUUCCCUUGAGUACUGGAGAGGAAAGUGGAAUUCCUAGUGUAGCGGUGAAAUGCGUAGAUAUUAGGAGGAACACCAGUGGCGAAGGCGACUUUCUGGACAGUAACUGACGUUGAGGCACGAAAGUGUGGGGAGCAAACAGGAUUAGAUACCCCUGUAGUC
rnacentral:rRNA from 1 species